rnacentral:rRNA from 1 species
GUAGUCCACGCCGUAAACGAUGGAUACUAGCUGUUGGAGGUAUCGACCCCUUCAGUAGCGAANGCUAACGCGUUAAGUAUCCCGCCUGUGGAGUACGGUCGCAAGACUAAAACAUAAAGGAAUUGACGGGGACCCGCACAAGCGGUGGAUCAUGUUCUUUAAUUCGAUGCUAAACGAAGAACCUUACCAGGGCUUGACAUCCUUGGAAUUUCUCCGAAAGGAGAGAGUGCUUUAUUGAACCAAGUGACAGAUGAUGCAUGGCCGUCGUCAGCUCGUGUCGUGAGAUGUUUGGUUAAGUCCAUCAACGAGCGCAACCCUUGUGAUUAGUUGUAUUUUUCUAAUCAUACUGCCCCGGAAACGGGGAGGAAGGAGGGGAUGAGGUCAGGUCAGUAUUUCUCUUACGUCCUGGGCUAGAAACGUGAUACAAUGGCUGGUACAAUGCGCCGCGAAGCCGCGAGGUGAAGCAAAUCGCACCAAAGCCAGUCCCAGUUCGGAUUGGAGGCUGAAACUCGCCUCCAUGAAGUCAGAAUCGCUAGUAAUCGCAGGUCAGCAAACUGCGGUGAAUACGUUCCCGGGUCUUGUACACACCGCCCGUCAAACCAUGAAAGUGACCAACACCCGAAGUCCGAUUCGUCGGCCUAAGGUGGGGGGCAUGAUUGGGGUU